UUUCCCUCAGGAUAGCUGGCACUCGCUUGAGCGAGUCUCAUCUGGUAAAGCGAAUGAUUAGAGGCCUUGGGGCCGAAACGACCUCAACCUAUUCUCAAACUUUAAAUGGGUGAGAUCUCUGGCUUGCUUGAACGUUGAAGCCACGAGAUUAUUAUUUAUGAUAAUUUGGAUCAGAGUGCCAAGUGGGCCAAUUUUGGUAAGCAGAACUGGCGCUGUGGGA
rnacentral:rRNA from 1 species